rnacentral:rRNA from 1 species
AUGGAGGCGGCUAUUGGCGCAGCAGUUCGCUCCGCGAUUGGGGCCGCAGGCAGGCUCAUCGGCAGUGUGGUGAAUAAGCUCUCUGAUAAGUUGGUGGAGGCGUAUGUUGCCAGCUCUGAGCUCGGCCUCAACUACAAGAAGAUAAAACAGGAUCUCAUGUUGACGCAAGGGCUGCUGCAUGAGGCCCAGAGGAGGGGGGUGAGCGACAAUCCUGGUCUGCAGGGGCUGGUGCAGCAGCUCAGCGGCAAGGCCGACGAGGCUGAAGACACCUUGGACGAGCUCCACUACUUCAUCAUCCAGGACCAGCUUGACGGCACCCAGUACGCGGUGCCGGAUCUGGGCGAGGGCCUCCGUUGUCAAGCACAACACGGUGGCCAUGGUGUUCGCCACACUGUCGGUAAUUGGAUUCCCUGCUUUUCUUGUUGCCGUAAAGAAGUGGAUGAUUCUGCUGCUGUUACCAAGAACCCACAUAAACCAACCAACCCUGGCAAUGGUAAUGAUGCUCCCGUUCCAGUUGAUAAGCUUCAGUUUGACAGAGUGGCCAUGUCCAAGAAAAUUAAGUCUGUGAUAGCAUAG